GGCGAAGGCAGAAAUGGCCGGUUCUCAGUGACAGCUGACCUUCAGAGAUGUGGCCAUAGAAUUCUCUGAGGAGGAGUGGGGACGCCUGACCCACAGUCAGCGGCAACUGUACAGGGAUGUGAUGUUGGAGAACUACGGACACCUCCUCUUCUUGGGUCUCCUUCUGUCAAAGCUAGACCUGAU